rnacentral:rRNA from 1 species
CCUACGGGAGGCAGCAGUGAGGAAUAUUGGUCAAUGGCCGGAAGGCUGAACCAGCCAUGCCGCGUGAAGGUCAGUGCCCUAUGGGCGUUAAACUUCUUUUGUGCGGGAGCAAUAAUGGUCACGUGUGGCCAGACGAGAGUACUGUACGAAUAAGCAUCGGCUAACUCCGUGCCAGCAGCCGCGGUAAUACGGGGGGUGCAAGCGUUAUCCGGAUUUAUUGGGUUUAAAGGGUGCGUAGGCUGUGAGGUAAGUCAGCGGUGAAAUGCCCCCGCUCAACGGGGUGAAGUGCCAUUGAUACUGCCUGGCUGGAAUGCGGAUGCGGUGGGAGGAAUGUGUGGUGUAGCGGUGAAAUGCAUAGAUAUCACACAGAACACCGAUUGCGAAGGCAUCUCACGAAUCCGCGAUUGACGCUGAUGCACGAAAGCGUGGGUAUCAAACAGGAUUAGAUACCCUAGUAGUC